rnacentral:tRNA from 2 species
GCCGAGAUAGCUCAGUCGGUAGAGCAGGGGACUGAAAAUCCCCGUGUCGGCGGUUCAAUUCCGUCUCUCGGCA